rnacentral:rRNA from 1 species
CUACGGGUGGCAGCAGUGGGGAAUAUUGCACAAUGGACGAAAGUCUGAUGCAGCAACGCCGCGUGGAGGAUGACACAUUUCGGUGCGUAAACUCCUUUUAUAUAGGAAGAUAAUGACGGUACUAUAUGAAUAAGCACCGGCUAACUCCGUGCCAGCAGCCGCGGUAAUACGGAGGGUGCAAGCGUUACUCGGAAUCACUGGGCGUAAAGAGCGUGUAGGCGGAUAAGUAAGUCAGAAGUGAAAUCCAAUAGCUCAACUAUUGAACUGCUUUUGAAACUGCUUGUCUAGAAUAUGGGAGAGGUAGAUGGAAUUUCUGGUGUAGGGGUAACAUCCGUAGAGAUCAGAAGGAAUACCGAUUGCGAAGGCGAUCUACUGGAACAUUAUUGACGCUGAGACGCGAAAGCGUGGGGAGCAAACAGGAUUAGAUACCCCCGUAGUC